AGCCCCGAGGUGUUAUCACAUUAGUUUGCAAGCCUAAAGUCGCAGGUUAAACCCCUGCCGGGGCUU
rnacentral:tRNA from 1 species